rnacentral:rRNA from 1 species
GACGAACCGUGCGAACGUUGUUCGGAAUCACUGGGCUUAAAGGGUGCGUAGGCGGGUUGUCCAGUCUGGGGUAAAAUCCCACGGCUCAACCGUGGAACUGCCUCAGAUACUGACGAUCUCGAGGGAGGUAGGGGCGAGCGGAACUGUGGGUGGAGCGGUGAAAUGCGUUGAUAUCCACAUGAACUACGGUGGCGAAGGCGGCUCGCUGGACCUCUUCUGACGCUGAGGCACGAAAGCGAGGGGAGCAAACGGG